UCAUAGAAUGUACGCAAACAUAGCAACUCGACAAGGGUCAAAGCCACGACAUUGCUAGAUAGCUUCAAUCGUCAUUCUAGAGCCUGUUUCAUUUCCUUGCUUACGGCUGCAAUAUCCGUACGGUUUAGUAUCAUAGGGGAGAUAUAUAGGAUUCAUUUGUCGCUUAUGAUGGAAACAAACCAACACCACGCACACAAUGACCA